CCCUGGUGGCUCUUGCCACUUCCCUGUGUUUUGGGGGGCUCUUAAUUGGCAUAUGUCCAAAUAUACUGGUGGGGGGGGUGGGUGGGUGGAACGGUCAGCUCUUCCUGGACUUUCCCCUCAUGAACCCUGUAGUGUGCCAGCAGCCUGUAAAUGCACUUCAUGGUGAAGAUGGGAGCUAUGCAGGAAGAGAACAGUGAACCCAGGAGUACCACUGAACCCCAGACAGAAGAUCAACUCCAGCUCACUUAAGCAAAUAGCUCCCUAAUUUGGUAUCUUUAAUUAUGACCAUACUGAUUGAUUAUAGCAAAUUAGGCAGUUAUCUUCUAAGCUGCUGAAAGAUUAAAAUAAAGAAACUUGCUCCCUAAGUUGGUAUCCUUAUGUAGGAUUGCUGUAUUUAAGAAUACAAAAUGAGCUAUUUAGCAGACGGCUCCUGUGGUAUGCUUAUACCUACGUCUAUCCUGAUGCUCACCUUCAAGACUUCUAGGCCUUUUCCAUUUCACACUCACCCAGUCUCCACUCCUUAAAAUAAAAAUCAUUAAAG